rnacentral:tRNA from 1 species
GGGCCCGUAGCUCAGCUGGGAGAGCGCUGCGUUCGCAACGCAGAGGCCAAGGGUUCGAGUCCCUCCGGGUCCACCA